GAUGAACGCUGGCGGCGUGCCUAACCCUUGCAAGUCGAGCGCGUCUGAUUUGAUGCUUGCAUUACUUAAAGAUGAGCGGCGGACGGGUGAGUAACGCGUGGGUAACCUGCCCUAUACACAUGGAUAACAUACUGAAAAGUUUACUAAUACAUGAUAAUAUAUAUUUACGGCAUCGUAGAUAUAUCAAAGUGUUAGCGGUAUAGGAUGGACCCGCGUCUGAUUAGCUAGUUGGUGAGAUAACUGCCCACCAAGGCGACGAUCAGUAGCCGACCUGAGAGGGUGAUCGGCCACAUUGGAACUGAGACACGGUCCAAACUCCUACGGGAGGCAGCAGUGGGGAAUAUUGCACAAUGGGCGCAAGCCUGAUGCAGCAACGCCGCGUGAACGAUGAAGGUCUUCGGAUCGUAAAGUUCUGUUGCAGGGGAAGAUAAUGACGGUACCCUGUGAGGAAGCCCCGGCUAACUACGUGCCAGCAGCCGCGGUAAUACGUAGGGGGCUAGCGUUAUCCGGAUUUACUGGGCGUAAAGGGUGCGUAGGUGGUCUUUCAAGUCGGUGGUUAAAGACUACGGCUCAACCGUAGUUAGCCUCCGAAACUGGAAGACUUGAGUGCAGGAGAGGAAAGUGGAAUUCCCAGUGUAGCGGUGAAAUGCGUAGAUAUUGGGAGGAACACCAGUAGCGAAGGCGGCUUUCUGGACUGCAACUGACACUGAGGCACGAAAGCGUGGGUAGCAAACAGGAUUAGAUACCCUGGUAGUCCACGCUGUAAACGAUGAGUACUAGGUGUCGGGGGUUUACCCCCCUCGGUGCCGCAGCUAACGCAUUAAGUACUCCGCCUGGGGAGUACGCACGCAAGUGUG
rnacentral:rRNA from 1 species